rnacentral:rRNA from 1 species
UACGUAGGGGGCAAGCGUUGUCCGGAUUUAUUGGGCGUAAAGAGCGCGCAGGCGGCUUGGUAAGUCGGAUGUGAAAUCCCGAGGCUCAACCUCGGGUCUGCAUCCGAUACUGCCCGGCUAGAGGUAGGUAGGGGAGAUCGGAAUUCCUGGUGUAGCGGUGAAAUGCGCAGAUAUCAGGAGGAACACCGGUGGCGAAGGCGGGUCUCUGGGCCGAUACUGACGCUGAGGAGCGAAAGCGUGGGGAGCGAACAGG